rnacentral:rRNA from 1 species
UACGGAGGGUGCAAGCGUUAUCCGGAUUCACUGGGUUUAAAGGGUGCGUCGGAGGGUAGGUAAGUCAGUGGUGAAAUCUUCGAGCUUAACUCGGAAACUGCCGUUGAUACUAUCUAUCUUGAAUACCGUGGAGGUGAGCGGAAUAUGUCAUGUAGCGGUGAAAUGCUUAGAUAUGACAUAGAACACCAAUUGCGAAGGCAGCUCGCUACACGAAUAUUGACUCUGAGGCACGAAAGCGUGGGGAUCAAACAGG